rnacentral:lncRNA from 1 species
CCCAACUUAAGCUGGUUUAAGUGCGCCUAAUUGCUGUCGGAACAGCAAUUAUCCGAAACGCACCUAAAACAGCAUAAGUCCGGUAGUCCGUCGAGUGUCCCUAGGACUCCUCGAAGGAUCCACGACGUGUCUCAUAGCCAUACAUCAGGAUAAUAUCCGCGAUGGGAUAAUAUCAACAAAUAUUACAUUUUUAAAGACAUAACCAAGGUACGAUAUAUUACAACCAUAGUUUGAAACAACUUAAUCAUGAAGGUCAGUGUGGUUCUAAGAAUUUAAAACCAGUCUGGAAGAAAAACAAAUAUUUAAGUUUCAAUCUAGAGUAUCAUGAGACUCAUAAGAUACCCUAGGUCUUCGGGGCUUCCUCUUCGGUGAGUCCCUGCUGGUUUUCUGAAAACAACAACAAGGGAUCCCCUGAGUACGAAGUACUCAGCAAGUCUUACCCGACUAACCAAUAUAAUAGUUUUUCUUUGGAAUGCAUGUCGGCCUUUGGGUGUGCUUGGUUGACACAAUUUUGCCGAAAAAGCUUACUAUAAGUGAGGCCUUAGUUUUAUCUUUUAUUUGAGUUAAGUCAUUACCUAACCAUUCUAGAUGAUAACAGAAGUAAAAACAACCACAACGGUUAAGUCAUACAUUACUUGACAACAGGAGAUUUUAUAUUGCAUGAAUUGGUACUACGAUGCUCAACAGUGAUCAAGUGCAUUCAUAACCGAGAAUUGCGGCGAUCUGGAUCAAUUUACAUCCUGCAGGAGAGUACCCCGAUCACCAGCAAUAUACGACUGUUCCGGUCGUAUCUUACAACCUCUCGAUUAGCAAAGUCAAUGAUUAGGAAUACAACUACCCGGACCUAGGGAUGCACCCCCACAUGGGACCCCACGUCUGGCCUGAUCUCCAUGUGAGUUUCAGGCUACACCCCUGCCAAUCUCCAGCACGUCAAAUGCGGGUACGAAGCAUUCCUGAUCAUAGAAUUUACUAAUCUACUGGGCUUUACUGGUCCCAUACCCAGUAAGUGAUCAGAUGUUAUCACUUGAUCAGCGGUUAAGACAACGAUCGGGCCUUAACCAGAUUAAUCUAGCAGACAGAACUACAUCUCUAGCUUCUGUCCGUUUUCAUAUUCCAGACUAUCCUCCAUAAGCAACAUGUAUGACUUAAGAGUUUUCCUUAUGGUUGGUAAACCAAGCAUGUAAGCAAGUAAGCAAUUCUAGACUUGGGUUGUCUUCUAAGGUUUGAACAAGUGGCAAAGAUGUCCUUAAACAAGGUAUGAUUAUACACAAGAAUAGGUUUCAUUCAACUCCUAGACUUAGUGCAUACAAUAAACAAUUAACCUAUAACUAGUCACAUGAAAUAAUGACUCCAAAAUAGAUAGGUAUAAAUGCACCGGGGCUUGCCUGGGAUCAACAAAGGUUAGUUCUUCGGAAAACUUCUUUAUUAAAAGAGGCACUCCACACUUCGCGAAUGUUGUCCCUCUCCAGCUGAAUUCCAUGAAUUCCCACUCCAGGAGUUGUGACGUCUACGAUUCAGUAUAUGCAAGAGUUAGAGAUGCAAAUUUUUGAAUACAAGACUAUACAACUUUCCUUCAUGAUAAAGUUGCAAGCCAACAAGGACUAUACAAUUUAUCAUGAUAAAGUUGCAAGCCAACACACAAAAACCCUAAAGAUUAGCCCACCAUUUUUAUUUCCUUUACUAAACCUACCUUAGACCUCUUCUUUUAUUUUUAAAAGUAUUAUAAUAAUUUUCUAAUCUCAAAAACCUAAUUCCUAUGAAUUAAUAAUAAUUUGUGGAUAAUAAAGCAUUUUCAAGUUUUAUACAUUUAAUAAAGUUUAAGCAUUUAUUUAAAUACCUUAGGUAAAAAGGCAUUAAAUAAAUACCUAAAUUUUUAUUAUUUUUCCUAGGGUUUAAGAAUUUUAAUGCAUAAAGGAAAAUAAAACAAUCCUAAUAAAAUUGGUUUCACUAAUUUUGGACACUUCUAGAAUUUCCUGUGAAUUAAAUGGUGAAAACCCUAUUUAAUCUAUUUAUCUAGUAAAAGAAAACCUAAAGUUUAAAUAAAACCCCCGGCCCAAACUUUCCUCACCUAACCUUCUUCUACCCACUAUCACUUCCACCUAGGGCCCAUCCGGUCUCCUAUUUCUUCCCUCCUUUCUUCACUGAUGAGUGGGGCCCACGGCCAAAAUCUCCCCUUGGGCCGAAAAGUGGCCCGCCAACUUUUAACCCGUGACGCGUGGGCCUCUAAACGGCAGCUCCCUUUUUGGGCCGGUUCCCUUUUCUCUUCUCUUUCUCAAUUCCGGCCGGCCCACCUUUUUCUUUCGUCUUUAAUUCCUCUUGGGCCGCAUGGUUCAUUUCUUUCUCAAGCGACAAAACGGCCCAUCGGCUCUCUUUUUCUUUCUUUUACCGCUCGCGGGCCAGCUAGGCCGAUUUCUUUCUUUGGCCCAAGACGGUUGACCGGCCCCCUUAUCCUUCUUGCGCCUGCCUCCCUCUCCUUUUAUGCCGCGCGGCCAGCUGGGCCGGCGCCUCUCUUUCGGCCCAAAAUGGCUGCCUGGCCUUCUCCUUCUCUCUCGCCCCACCUGGGCCUCCCCCACCGAGAAUUGGACUCCUGGCCCAAGUUCAUCAACCGUCCUGUCUCCUCCUCCCCUUGGCCCACGACGGACGGCGGCCCCUCUUUUCUUUCUCCCUUUUCUUCUAUGCCGCGCGGGCUUUAGCUAGGCCGCGCCUUUCCCUCGGCCCAUGUCGCACGGCUGGCCUGUCUUCCUCCCCCUGGUGUAUCUUCUUCCUCCCUGCGCUAGAACAGGGGUGCACGCCGGCGGGGCAAAACGGGACGGGGCCCUGGCCACGGCGGCUCGCCGGCGGCUGAGAGGGACGGGGUGGCGGCGCCCCAGGUCAGGCGCACCCGCGCCCACCGUCAGCUCGCCGGGAGGCGGCCCGAGCCGGCCCCUCCACGGGCGGCUGCGGCUUGGCCAACCGCCGGCCAUGGCGGCGCAUGGAGACGGCGCAAGCAGCUCUCUAGACUACCCCAACAGCUCCCACACCUUCGCAGGACGCCCCUAAGCACGUUAAUUGAGAAGAAUCAGUCGAUUUAGAAGCUCACCUUGUGGAUUGGGUGACGGUGGCCGGCGGACAGUAACGGCGGCGAUUCGAAGCUUGCCGGCAGGGAGACGAGCAAUGGUUAAGCUUGGGCGUCGUGGUGGGGCUAGUGGAGCUACUGGCUGGCGGUGACGCGAAGGGCAACAGCGGCAUGGGUGUUGGCCGGCGCUGGCGCUAGCUCGCUCGAGCUCUGUGUUCAUCACGGUAAAAUCCAACGGGAUAAACGGAUAGGCACAGAAGCUUGAUUUAUCCAAGUUGGUACCGUUUGCAUGCCAUCCACCUCGACAACCUGAACGAGCGUGGACGUGGCCGUCGUGCUGGCCGGUCGUGCGCAAGAGCCGGCGGCAGCACGGCACUGCUCUGUUCUGAUCUUUCUGUUCUUAUCUCCUCCUUUCAAAGCGAUCUGUUCAACCCUUCAUUUCUCAAGAUAUUCUAUCUCAACUCGUAGAACUCCUUUAAGCAAACUUGUAGAUUAAUCCGAGCACUACAUUUGAUGGAUUGGCCUCCAACCGAAUUAAGCACCCUAAGGUCGAGAUUUCGGAGCUCCAAGCUCCUGUCACUUUACUGUCAACUGAAUUUUCGGAUUCAGUUUCGACAGUCUUCCAAUGUGGUCGUUUACCCUUCUUUGGCACAAGUUUCAGUAGCCCAAUUGUAUUCCACAUAGGCCAAUCACUCCCUAUUGUGUUCUACAACUAAUAANNNNNNNNNNNNNNNNNNNNNNNNNNNNNNNNNNNNNNNNNNNNNNNNNNNNNNNNNNNNNNNNNNNNNNNNNNNNNNNNNNNNNNNNNNNNNNNNNNNNGAAACCAUAUAGCCUUUGCACUGGAUUUCUGAAAAUGCUCCAAACAUUGCUAGUUAACACUGUUUCAGACUUAGAAUUUACGCAGCUCGAGAGUUGGCCGAAAUAGCUAGAGUGCUGACUUUGAGUUCUGAUUUAAAUUUGAUUCUUUCGCUAUCUCUGAGCAACAACACCUUAUUAAACAUGUCCAAGGAUCAUACUUCACCGCUGUCUAGUUGCCUUUGCUCACUUACUUGAAAAAUUGGGCAGAAUUCGGUUUCAAAAAUAGAUACUCAUCCUGUUUUCCAGACUUAGAAUUAAUUCGGCAAGGAGCUCGAAAUCUGCUCAAUUGCUGACUUUUGGCUCCAAUUUGAAUUCAAACCUUCCACUUUCUCUGGACAACAACUAUUCAUUUACCUUCUCCAUAGUCCAUAUUACACGAAUGUCCAAAAACAUCUGCUCACUCUUAAGGAAAUUUCUCCAGAAAUUGGUUCUAAAGUCAUGUACUCAAUGUCAUUUUCAGACUUAACCAAAUUCCAGCAAAGUCGCCUAUUGUGACAAAGUGCCAACUUUAGGCCUCUAUUUAAAAUGAUUCCCUCCACUAUUCCUGAUCAACAAUACCUAGAUUUAGGAGUCCAAGGUUCAUACUUCAACAUGGUAUAGUUGUCCUGAUUUACUUAUUUGAGAAAUUUGUCAGAACUCAAUUUCCAAAAUGGACUCUGAGCUGUUUUUCUGAUUUCUUGUUUUCGGACGGUGAAUAGUAAACGUUGCUUUUCAUUUCCUUCUCUGAUUUCUUUUGAGUGUUUAGGAUCAAAUACUAUUCCAAAUUGUUGACCCUUAAGUUCAAAUCAUCUUUACACUGCUAUUCCAUAUUUUUGCCGAAUUUUUCUGAAUUUCAAAUUAAAAAUUCAAAUUUCGGCCAAAUUUGACCCGAAUUUGAUUUUCGGUCAAUUCCUUUUUCUUUUCUUCUCGAUUUGCUUCCAACUCUUCAAAGUCACUUUGAUGACUAAAAAUGGCGGGUGUUACAGCCCCUCCCCCUUAACAGAAUCUCGUCCCGAGAUUCCUGGGGUUAAAUCCUCCGUUUUUGAGAAUGGAAAGGAAACUGCCUCAGGUUAACUAUUUCUUCUUUUUCUGUACAAGGAUAGUGCGGGUGGUGGCUCUUUAUUCAUCUGUUCCUGACGAUCCCAAUUAAUUUCUGGAUAUUUAGACUCUAGGUCUUCAGCCUAUCCCAAGUAGCUUUAUCUGGAGCAUAAUUCUCUCAUGGUAUCUUGUAGAAUCUGAUACUCUUAGUUCGAGUAUUGAUAGUCUUCCGAUCCCAAAUUUUCAUACGGACCAAUAUAAUUCGGAGCAAAUUUUUCCUUUGACUCCAAAUCGAUGUACUCCUUUCAUUGGGGAUAUUCCGAAAUGCACAAAGUCUCAAAAUAAAAUUUCAAGGAUCCUUUUCUUUUAUCCGAAUAACUUUUCUCUCAUGACUAAGUUAUUUCAAGGUUCGUACAAUUUUUCUGAACUUUCUCCUUAACUUUAAUUGAUUAGAUCCGGUUCCAAAGGUACUCUUUCUCUUGAUUUUGACUGAAUUAAAAGCAAUCAUUCUUUCCAUUUCUGCUAGAGGCAACCAUUCAUCCCAUUUCUUCAAGAAGGUAAGAGCACAGGCUCGAAGCAUAUCUUUUUCUGUCUAACCAAGCAUCCUUUGCUCUUGACAAGGGUAGUUCCCAUUGUCUCAUGCGUUUAUUCCUAGAAUCCAAAGAUGAAUUGAGAACCUUAAUUAAAGAUAAUUGUUUUGGGUAUUCCAUGUAACAAUACUACCUGAGACAUAUAAAUCCCCAUGUGAGCUGACAUACGGUAAGCGGUCCUGAUAGGAAUGAAAUGAGCUGACUUAACGAGUUGAGCUACUAUAACUCAUAUGAAAUUAUACCCCCUUGUGGUAGUAGGAAAUCCUACUGUAAAAUCCAGGGAAUGUCUUCCUACUUCCAUUUAGGAAUGGUGAAGGGUUGCAAUAAGUCGGCCGAUUUCUGGUACAUAGCUUUCACCUUUUGACACGUAUCACAUUCAGAUACAUACUUGGCUAUUUUCUUUUUCACUCUUGUCCACCAAAAUCAUUGCUUCAUCUAAGAUGAUCUUUCUCAAGCCCUAUCUUCUUGAGUACUAUUAUUCAGUUUUUGAAAUAGCACACCCUCUUUUCAUCCUGGUAAAACAAAUAACAUCACUUUAGCUUACUCAUUUCUGAAGUAUUCUUAUUCCUUUGUCCUUUUUCUGAGCUCGUUUUACCUUUUUCUUUAAGGUAUCGUGCAGGAUACGGUUAUGCAGGGUACAUUAGUUUUGUUCAGAUGAUACAAUCUCUAGUUUAUAGUCUUGGAUUAGUUUCAGCCAUCUUAUGCCUCAUAUUAAGAUCUGACUUCGAUAGCAUCCAGCCAUUUUAAGAAAACUUCUUACUUCAUGAAUAGUUAUUGGCGACUUAUGUCCUUGACCCCUUUUUUUUUUCCAGGAUCCACUUUAAUUCCUUUCUCGGACCAAACACGCCUAAUGAACGGAACCUUCUUUAGCCAAAACUCACAUUUACUAAACUUAGCAUAUAGUCAAUGUUCUAGAAGCUAUCCAAAUCAAUGUGCAAAUGCUCCGCAUAUUCUCCUUUAUUCUUGUUCGUCAAAACCUUUGCUUUAACGCUUGACACACCUUACUAUUCUCAGGAUCCCAUGUAAACUCGACCUUUUUAGAAACUUGUUAAUAUUCAUGUAAUGCUCACGUCCCUUCCUUGUAGUUAAGGAACUUCUUUCGAAUAGACUUUUGACCCGAUCCUUGGCGUGAAAUCUGAGCUUUCUCAUUCAUAUUUUCCCUUUUCUUUCGAAAAUGGAGAUCUCCGGCGAAACUAGUCCUUCCAUAGUUAUGUUAUAAUACGGCUGUAGAAUUGCAAAGAUAGUGGUGCUUUAACCCUUCAAGUACUCAUGGGUUUGUCGAACAUGGAGUAUUAUCUAGGUUUUGGAUAACCUAUGAAUGAUAUGACAAUUGUGGUUGGGGCCUAUAAGUAGAUCUAGCAGGUUCUUAGUAGACAACUUUAAGCUCCUGAGGAAUACUUUCAGAGGCCUCGAAAGAAUUGUCCUCCCAUUCCAAGGAUUCCUCCCUUCCAAGGGGCUUGUUCAUAGCUUUCAUCUUCUCUGGGAAUUAUGAUGUUUAUAGCAGAGCUAUAAUCUGUAAAAUUACUGGGAAACAAUUCCUUUUCUUAGACUUAGUGUUCAUAUAUUUGGGAGCAUAUUGUGCCAGAUGGUUGAAUGCACUUAGAUACUUCCAAACACUCUUGUGUCCCUGCUAAACCUUCUAGAAGUUGUUCCAGCUGCAUUCUUAUAAUCCUUUUUAGCAGAAACUAGGUACAAAUAAUUAUCUUGAAAUCUUCCCAAGCUAUCUUCUUUCUGACGGAUUGCCUAGCCAGAUCGCUAGUCCAUCACGUGCCUGCGGAACCUUGGAGUUAAUGUCCUGCGAACUCAAUUUUUUUGAGUUCCCGUAUAUCGAAGAAUCACACAUGUAUCCAUAUAAUGUUUGGAUUUACGUGUAAUUCUGCAACAAUUUGUCUCAUGUUCAUACAGUGAUUAGAGGCUGACAUGUGUAAGAAAAUGCCACUCUUAAUAGCUUUAACAAGCAUGAGUAGACUGCAUUAUCUUCUUCCAAAUCUGUUUCAGAAAAUUCCUGGCAUUCUUUUGAACAUCAAAGAUAUGAAGUAUCUGGUCUGGCAAAUUCUUUUUGAUGAAGAUUAUAAUGCUAACUCCAUUGCAGAACACAGGAUCUGCUAGCUUUUUCCCUGUUAGUGUCUCAGCUAGCAAUACUCCAAAACUGUACACAUCUCCUCAGAGCUUUACAUUCUGACAUAAAACUCCCAUCGGUGCCUUAUAUGUUUGUAUCAAAAACCUUCGCAGCCAACAACUCGGUUUACCUGGAUUAGCUUUCCUCCGUAUACUGAACCAUAGCUUCUUUUCCUAAUCAAAGACUCCGUGAAAUUCUCAGUGACCUGAACUCAAUCCUUUGUAGAAAGUUUUACAGAAGUCCUUACUAGAAGAAACCAACGGUGAUUGCAUUAUGAAGGACUUUCUCUAUUGAAGUAUAAGGCAUCACGAUAAUAUGAAUAGUGCCAUAAAACCAACAAUGGGGAUACAUAUUUUACCCAAAACUUUUAAUCUUGCUGUAUGCAAAGAAACAACAUCGCAUGCGGGUAUAUGCAGCUCAAAUAUUCCGCCGCAAAGACCCUGAUUGCCAUCGAGUGCAAUAGUUGUAAUCUUUUUGAAUCACUCGGUACUCUUCCCAUGAGAUGACUGCGGGGCGAAUUUAACGGACUGAGAGCUUGUAGAUCACAUAGAGCAACUGGGAUAGUAUCUAUCCAAUUGUUGUGUGAAAGGUUAAGAAUAGUGUCUUCUCAAAAGUUGGUGGUUUUGAUAUUGCUUCAAUUCCCAACAACCACGUUAAUUUCCUGUAUUUUAAAUGUCCCUGCUCAGCAGUCUAGCCUGCUUAGUUCUUGAAUUCAUAAGACUAGCAAUAGCAUUAACCAAGGUAAGAAUUUAUGGUGGCUCUACAUCACGAGUUCUGACCCGGAUUAAAUGUGUCUUCCUGGGUUCAGCAUUCUGGGGUCACAAAAAUCCAACAGACCGAAACUCAUUAAACUUCCUCUUGUUCCUUUAAUAUCCUUAUUUCCUGCAUCUCGCAAACCUUGGUAUAUAUUUCUUAAAAACAACCCCCCUCAACAUUGUCCUUAGCUAAACAGUUGAUCGAACUUCCUACGACUCCUUCCAAAUUCUUUUCCAUUUUCACACUAAGACUGUCCAGGUUCUCGUAAGCAUGCAGAUCUACCUUUUUAAGAUGUCAAUUCAAUCAUACUCAUGUGGUUACCCAUAAUAUCCUUCCUUCCUUUCACUACUACCGGGACGAACAGAUGUUGCCUUUGCUUUCAUGAUUUUCUGAUAUAUCUUUGAGGCAUCCGGAUCAAUAGAUUCCUGGGCUUGUGUCAAUUGGCCUCAUAUUCAUCCAAUUUCUUUAACUGCUUUUCUCAUAACUUUUCCCAUAUUACGAUCUCAUGCAAGAACUGCUUUCUUACUUAUAUCGAAAUCAUAUGGAGUAUCUUUUUCCCUCAUCUUUGAACCUUCAUUCCUUUCUCUUUAAUAAUAUUACUGGAAUAGACAUCUUGAUGAAGAGUAUACAUUGAAGUCUUUUAAUCUCAUGAAGCGACUGUAGUAACGUCGUGCUCCAUUUGAGAAAAUCCUUUAAACCUUUAUACAAUGCUUCCAAUACUAUGGUCCUGAUUUCUGAUCCCAUAACUCUGGUCAGACUGGGUCCAAUUUAUUCCUUAUUCUUCUUACACCAGACAGUUUAAGUUGUCCUAAUUGCUUAUCCAAGUAAGGUUUGGUGUCCAUCCGUCUGUCUUGAUCUUCUCUUCUGCAGUUCUCUGUUGCAUCGACCCCCUUACUACGUCUAGCUCCUAUUACACGGGACGGGUUUAGGUCUAACGGCACUCUUCAAACCCAAAAAUUUUGCAACAUGCAAUGCAAACAUGAUGCAACGAUUCCUACGUACUUUCAGACUCAUAUACACACUCGUAGAAAAAUUGGUGGCAUCGUAAUCUCUCCCUAAAUAAUAGACUACCGAAUACUAGCGACAUGCAACAAACAAUUAGCAUCUGCAAAAUAAACAACCAGUUAACACUACUGCCACCUGUGACUCUUGUUUUUAUUAUUUAAAAUAGAGUCUCAAUUUUUAAAUAGUAAUAUCUGUUGAUUAUCCCAACCUACGGCUCUGAUACCAGCUGUGGCGGAACCGCCCAACUUAAGCUAGUUUAAGUGCGCCUAAUUGCUGUCGGAACAGCAAUUAUCCGAAACGCACCUAAAACAGCAUAAGUCCGGUAGUCCGUCGAGUGUCCCUAGGACUCCUCGAAGGAUCCACGACGUGUCUCAUAGCCAUACAUCAGGAUAAUAUCCGCGAUGGGAUAAUAUCAACAAAUAUUACAUUUUUAAAGACAUAACCAAGGUACGAUAUAUUACAACCAUAGUUUGAAACAACUUAAUCAUGCAGGUCAGUGUGGUUCUAAGAAUUUAAAACCAGUCUGGAAGAAAAACAAAUAUUUAAGUUUCAAUCUAGAGUAUCAUGAGACUCAUAAGAUACCCUAGGUCUUCGGGGCUUCCUCUUCGGUGAGUCCCUGCUGGUUUUCUGAAAACAACAACAAGGGAUCCCCUGAGUACGAAGUACUCAGCAAGUCUUACCCGACUAACCAAUAUAAUAGUUUUUCUUUGGAAUGCAUGUCGGCCUUUGGGUGUGCUUGGUUGACACAAUUUUGCCGAAAAAGCUUACUAUAAGUGAGGCCUUAGUUUUAUCUUUUAUUUGAGUUAAGUCAUUACCUAACCAUUCUAGAUGAUAACAGA